GCUUUGUCUUCAACAUAAUAUAUUUAUUAAAUAAAUGUAACUGUGUAAUCAUGGAAUCUAAGCACAGGAGGAUUUCCAAGCUUCACCUCACAUCAAAUGCAGGCAUCAUAUAGCCUCUAGGCCUUGGGUUAUGUCAGGGAUUUUUGCUUUUCACUUAGACUUGCAGUUGUCUUUCUUAGAAGAUAUGAAACAUGUUGGUCCCACCUCUAGCCAAGUAAAAACAGGUAUGUGAAUAAAAUGACUAUCAAAACAGGUUCUUUUCAAAGCGUUGGAAAUAUUGGAUUUCUCUUGGCUGUGAAUGUAGUGGGAGUCUUGAUGUCUUCGUCAUAUUGGGGAGCUUUUUAUUCAGCAUACUAAAAACAUGUAUCUAGCAAUUUCUAGAGGGUGCCAGGACUUUUCUUGGGGUUAGAGUAAUGAAGAUGAUUAUACAAUGGCCUCUAUCCAGUUGACGCAACUGAUUAGAUUAGCUAAAUGUUACAGGGCACGGUGGUAUAAAAAAAUUCCUGGAAGACGGAAGAUUUUAUUCACCACAUAAGCAGUCAUGGGGUAGGUGUUCCACAACUAGUUGGAUGUGUCAAGGCACAGCAUCCUACAAAAACAUAGUCUGUUUUGAAAAAUUCAGUCUGCCUGAAGGUGGGUGGCUGGAGAAAAACUUGAGAAGUUAGGAGGGACCACAUCACCCAAUACCUGGUUAACCAACUAGGAGAGAUUUAAUGACUACCUGUAUAGCCAGCAGGAACAUUUAAUGUGGGGUACAAGAUCACCUUUGUUCUUUAGGAAGUUUGUAGUCAUUCAUAAAUCCAAAGGAAAAAGCAAAAAUUCAGGCCAUGUUAUGCCUCACAUGUAAAAUAGCCUGCUAUCCAGCCCUGGGCAUUGCAUUAUUCCAGUAAGGGCUAAUGUUGUAUAUUCUUCUCAACUAUUUCAAUAAAAAAUGUGGAGGAUACAUUCCAGUUGAAAGAUCACUUAUUUGAAUUUUACCUUUUAGUGCCAAGAUUGCAGGGAAAAAUAUCAUUUGUGAGCCUCUCGGAAGGUUGGCUGAUCUGCAGAUAGGAUAAAAUAUCCUGCAUGUACUCUCCAUUUGAUUUGUAAUUUACAUAGCAUCUCUUUGUUCAUCAAGGAACACCCUGCAUGACUUCCUGACACUGACCUGGAUUUUACUUAUGGCUGCCCUAAAUUGUGUUAUCAUGGUGUACCGGUUGUUCAGUAUUCAGCCUUGCUCCUCUGUAACUUAAUAUUAUGAUUUAUUUCUGACUUGGCUUUUCUUUAUCGAAUGCUGACUUUUUCUAAGAGGUUCAUGUGGAAAUGUGCUACAUGAAAAAAAAAAAAGGAGCACAGUUUGGCCUCAGGGCAAAAACAUGAAUACUGACCCAGGGACAUGAAUACAGGGCAGAAGAGAGAGUGGCACAGGCAACAAAAUUAACUCAUUUCUUUGCCUUUUGUGUGUUCCUAAGUGUGUGGAGUGACUCAAAUUUUAGCACAGAAAGUAAAGUUAGAAAGCAACUGCUAUUUGCCAACAACCCAUUCUUUAAUUCUCAAAGAUCAAAAAUUUGCUUGAAAACUGACAUUUUCAUUUUCUCCUGGCCCAGUGAACAAAGUUUUAAGGUUAUGUGGUCGCUCUGAUACCACCUAAGAAGCAAAUAUUUCUUGCAGUCUACUUCUAGAUGUGAAUGAACUGAAAGUAAAUGACUCAGAGAUGGAGUAAAUGUCCCUUGAAAUACACCCAAACUUAAUAAUUAGGAGAAGAGUGCUUGAAUAAACACAUUUAGAGUGUUAUUGAGCAUAUACAAGCUUAGAUGGUCCAUAUUUCUAAAAGACAGUGAGUCUAUAGCACAUUCUUCGGAGAUGAGAAAAUUAUGCCAUAAAUAAAAUUUGUAGUGGAGGCAUUUGUUUUAUCAUUCAGUUAAGUAGCAGGAAUUCUUUCAUACCUAGAGGGACUUAGGUAAAACUAAUAAACAGACAUACUUAACAACAAGAACAACAACAACAAAAAUAAAGCAUUACCAUUCAAGAGUGUGAAAUCACUUCUCUGAGAGCCUUUUUGGAUUGAAUAUUCUUUUUGGGCUGGUAAUGUCAAACUAAAACUUUACCUAAACACAGAUAACUAGGUGGCUCUUAGCAUACCUUUCAGGGCUUAUGGUCUCCAAUUAUUCCACUCACAUCCCCCUAUACAUUUCCAAAUCACCUCUUUCAGUGUCUCCAGUGUUUAAACAUGAACUGGAUAGAGUGUUGCAUGGUAGUAUUAAAUAAAAUUUAGCUUAAAGCUGUUUCCUUACAUAUUAUAAGUUCUGUCUAAAGGUUUCUACGUGCAUAGUAUACAUGUCAUUGAAAGUGUAAAUGGACUAUAACCUACUCUGAUACCAAUCACUGAGUUGUGGCCAAUCAAAGGUGGCCAACUGCUCAAACCACAUUCAAAUAUGGCAAAUGCUGAGCUGUAACCAAUCCCGUUGUUUCUGUACCUCAUUUCUGUUUUCUCUCUGUCACUUUUCUUUUUCUUUCCAUAAAUCUUCUUCAACCACCUGGCAGUGCCAGAGUUUCUCUGAACCCAUUCUGGCUUGGGGGAUGCCUGAUUCAUGAAUCAUUCUUUGCUCAAUUAAACUCUGUUUAAUUUAAUUUGUCUAAGGUUUUUCUUUUAACAGUAGAGAUAGGAGUACAACACACUUUGAGGUGUACAGGAGUGAGUUCAAAUCCUAGCUCUGUUAUUGGCUUGAUUUCUCAUCUUGAGCAAGGUACUUAGUUUCUCUGAGCCUUAGUUUCUGCACUUGUAAAUGUGGAGAAGUGAAACACCAGACUUGAGAGGAUGCUCUGCUAUCUGAACGAGGUAAUGGGAAAAUGCUCGGCCAGUGUUGUAACUCAAUCUUCUUAUCCAACAGUGAGCCCCUUGGGCACCCAGACCCAGACUCGCCCUUCUAGUCUCACGUCUUGCACUCUCUGGCACAUCUCAUGUAGGCUCUGUUGCCUGUCAUGUUUUCCAGUCCACAAAUACCCUUGGCAUGCUCUCAUGUCUGUACUUGGUCCACAUUAUUCUAACGUGAAUACAUGAAACUUCUAAUGACAGUGCAAUCUUUCUAGACAAUCUCUGAAGGAGAAAUGUUACUAGUCUGUGGUGAAUAUAAAAAUAGGCUCAUAGGGAAAAAAAACUGUGAUUGAAGGUAUAAUUCUGCAUUUUCUUGGGAUAUACAUAAAUAGCAAGUAGUCAUUUUUUACUUAAAAAAAAAAAAAGAAAUCUACAGAAAGAAAAUUUAGCUGUCUUUCUGUUGCUAACCUUCCAGGAGGCCUUGGUUCUCCUUUAAGGUUGAAGUUCGUUUGUGACAGGUUAGUGCUGCUCAUUUUUGUGGCUUUCCAGAAGCCACCGUGGAAAAGGCAGAAGUCUUCCCCUCCCAUUAUGCUGAGUCAGACAUGGCAUCUACAUGACUCAUCACCAAGUGGUUCUCCAGAAUUCACUUUGCUUGCUUUUCCCCAAUCCAGAUAAUCCUCGGGACUGGUAGCCACCCAACUCACUCCUGCACACUGUUCUUCCUCUUUGGAGGCACCCACCAUGCCUGUCUGAUGCUGCCCCUCAAGGUCACAUCGGAGUCUCCUGUACCUACCUUGUCUGUGGCUACCCAACUCUAUACAAUUUCUGAAGCUUUCAUAACACCCAGAUGGUCUAUAAUGUAAUAUGUGUUUAGAUAAUCCUCAGGCCAAAACAUCUUUCCAAAAUUUAACUGUAAAUCUGUCACUUCCAUGGGUUAUGUUAGUCUUUUCCAUGUUCAAAUGGCUAUCUGAGCUCCUGGGGAGGGGAAGUCACUCCCGGAGUUCUCUUUCCAUCAUUCAUAGUGUGAAUCUCACCUUGGGCUGGGAGGAAUUUGUGAUGGGCAUACAAGUGAGAAAAAGGGUGCAAAGGGGUGAGAUGGUAUGUUAGUCAGGGUUCUCUAGAGGGACAGAAUUAAUAGGAUAGAUGUAUAUACAAAGGGGAAUGUAUUAAGGAGUAUUAACUCACGAGAUCACAAGGUAAGGUUGCAUAAUAGGCCAUCUGCAACCUGAGGAGCAAGGAAGCCAGUCCAAGUCCCAAAGCUGAAGGACCUUGAGUCCAAUGUUUGAGGGCAGGAAGCAUCCAGCAUAUGGGAGAAAGAUGUAGGCUUGGAGGCUAAGCCAGUCUAAUCUUUUUUUUUUUUUUUGAGAUGGAGUUGCCCUCUGUCACCCAGGCUGGAGUGCAGUGGCGUGAUCUCAGCUCACUGCAACCUCCGCCUCCGCCUCGCAGUACCUGAGAUUACAGGUGCAUGCCAACACGGCUAAUUCUUGUAUUUUUAGUAGAUACAGGGUUUCACCAUGUUGGCCAGUUGGUCUGGAACGAACUCCUGACCUCAAGUGAUCCGCCCACCUCAGCCUCCGAAAGUUCUGCGAUUACAGGUGUGAGCCACUGUGCCUGGCCAAGCCUAAUCUUUCCACGUUCUUCUGCUUGCUUUUAUUCUAGUUACACUGUCAGCUGGUUAGAUGGUGCCCUCCCAGAUUGAAGGUAGAUCUGCGUUUCCCAGUCCACUGACUCAAAUGUUAAUCUCCUUUGGCAACGCCUUCACAGACACACCCAGAAUCAAUACAUUGCACCCUUCAAUCCAAUCAAGUUGACAUCCAGUAGUAACCAUCACAGAUGGCUAAUACGGGAGAUAUUCAUGAAGGGUCUGGGAAGGGGAUUUGGAAGAGAUAUGGACACAAAGGAAGGAGGAAAGAAAAGGGGAAGUGAGACGGGAACCAAACCAAACACCCUGUAUUGCACAAUUGAGCCUGGAGUUGGCCUGCUCGCCACAGAGCAGUCACAGGUUUUCAGGAUGCUUUAGUGAUAGCAGCCAUCAGUACCUCUCAUUAGGAGCAAAAGCCCUGAUUGGUAAUAGUAUAUUCUACUUAUUUAGAGAAUAAAAGUUCCCUGUUAGAACCAGCCUUCUCAGAAUGGCAUUCAGCUUUUCAGAAAAGCACAGCACCAGCAUAUUUCUUAUCUGCCUUGAAGGUUAUAAUAAAUCCCUUCUUCUGUUAAUUCAUAAAUCCUUCAGCCACAUGCCAUUUUGGGGCCAUAUGCUUUCUUUCCUCCCUCUAACCCUUGGAAAGAUCUUUCAUAUCCAAUCUCUGUAGAUAAUCUGAAUGUGAAAUCAGGUAUGGUUAUCUAAUCCCUCUAAUCAGAAGGUCAGCAGUUACCUGCAGCUUUUCCAUCUGUCCUCCAGCUGAAUGCUGCCAUUUAGUAAAUCAAAAAUUGGUUACAAAUUAGCAAAGCUGACUGGCUCAAUGAAAUCUAGCCUGGAGUCUUUGCUGGAAGGGGGGAAGUUUAAAUAUGGUUUGAAGGGAGAUUUGAGGUGAACUCUAUUUAUCAAAGCCGUGGAGUAGCAGCAUAAAAGAUGAGAGAUGUUCUCCUGGGUAAAAAUGUCAAAUCACAUGGGAAAUGGGAAUAUUUCACAUGGUGAUUACUGAAUUUUACAAUUGUUCGCAAAUUGAUUCAGCCCAGAAAUCAACUGGGAAGUCUCCCACAGGUGUCUAGCACUCUGCAGGUAUUAGCGUGAUACAGGGUAAGUCUCAAAGUACAAAAAAAAACACACAUGUGAAACAAUUUGCAAACAAUGAAGUGCUAACCUGUGUGGUGUGAAUUACAGAUGCAUUAGGACACCAGAAAAGGAAGAAAAGACAGUGGCAGCUGAAGACAUUUCAGGAAUGCUUCACUGAGAACCUAAGUCUUGUUCUGGGCCAUAAAGAAAAGGGGAGGGUGUGGUUUCUAUACCAGAGAUAAGAAAGGAGAAAAUUGGACGUGGAGGAAAGAUAUGAGUACCAAUCCGAGCGAACAAGGAAGAGUGAGUAAAUCUGUCCAGCUGGAGUUGGAGGUACAUUCUGGAAAAUGGUGAGAGAGGCUGUGUAGGGUAGGGGGACACGGAAAGAUGGGCCAAGACAUUUGGAGCUGAUAUUUGAUAUGGUUUGGCUGUGCCCCCACCCAAAUCUCAUCUUAAAUUGUAAUCCCCAUAAUCCCCACGUGUCGAGGGAGGGACCCGGUGGGAAGUGAUUGGAUCAUGGGGGCAGUUUUCCCCAUGGAAUUCUCGUGAUAGUGAGUGAGUUCUCACGAGAUCUCAUGGUUUUACAAGCGUCUGGUAUUUCACCUGAUUGCACUUCUCUCUUCUGCCUCCUAGUGAAAAAGGUGCCUGCUUCUCCUUCUGCCAUGAUUAUAAGUUUCCUGAGGCUUCCCCAGCCAUGCGUAACUGAGUGAGGACCUAGAAUUUUAAUGUCUAAUAUGCGGUGUGAAUUAAAGAAGCGGCCUUGCUAUGCUGACCUUUUCAAUAUUCUAAUCUUUGCUUUGCUGACCUCUCAGGCCUCUUCCUGGCAACAGUUAGGCUUUUGAGAGGAGAGAGAGCUGAGACUGUUGGCUCCUUCCCAUUUAUGAGAGAGCCACAUGACAUCAGCCCAUAGACUGUGGAGAGUAUUCCAGAUCUAUCACAUUCUGCGAUUCUGCGAUUCCCAGAAGGCUGGUCAUGAAAAAAUUCCCUCUUCAGUUUACAUAUAUGGCAGUGGCACUUCUAGAUAUCUGUUGAGGCCUGGAAGGGGCAAAACAAUUCAGGAAGCAGUUGAAGAUAAAGGGGUUUACCAUGGAAGAGAAGAUCCAGGUGCCUUCAUGGAAAUGCUUGUGGUUGAAAAGAGAUGAAGAUGAGGGUCCCUGGAAAGAGGAAGAACCAGCCAGGAAAAUUAUACCAUUAGCAAGACUGGCAUCAGCAAGUAGUUCGCAGUGUUGGUUGUUCUUGGUUUCGCAGGAUUUUAUAGGAGGACCAGCCACCAAAACGUACAAUAGCACAAUCAACUCAGCCUCUGUGAGCCACAUCAGGCAUGUCUCAGUGGAUCCAGUGUAAGUGUUUUUACUAGCAGGGGGUAAAAACGGUAUUCCUUAGAAGAUGAGGGUUCCACAGCCUAUUUAACAUAGACAUGAGAAGCACUACAAGACAGAAGAAGUCUAUGGCUUGACCCUAUUAGAUGAUCUUCUGAGGUGUUUAUUAAUAAGUGAUAGGUUGUGUUUUUUUUCAAUGACAAAGCAAGGAUUUUUUUCUUUUACAAGACAUCAAAGGAGUUUGACUCUAAUUUUCUCUGUGGAGAUUUGGCUGAGAGUCUCUAGAUUAUGGUGAUAACAACACCUAAGAGAUUUAUUUAAGAAGUGCCCCUUGGCCCUUCCUUCAGAGAAUCCACAAAUCUUUAUUCAAUUCUGUCAGUCUCUGGCAAGGGAAAUGCCAUUUAGUCCAGUGAACAAUUAAUAAAUGGUGCUCAGUAAGUGCUAGUUGAUGAUAAUGAUAAUAAUGAUGAGAUGAUGAUGAUGGUAAUAGACUUAUCUUGAUUCAAAAAUAAAUGUGUAAUGUAUAUGUAUAUAUAUGUUUAUGUAUAUAUGUGUAAAUAUAUAUGUUUCAAAUUCUCUUCAGCCUUGAAAAUGAAGAUUGCACAUUUUUCUUUACCAUAUGUAAAGGAAUGCUUUCAGUUUCUGGUUUUCUGUGUAAAAAUUCUAGGAGAUUUUAUCAUCAAUGCUUGCACUUAGUUUUGAUGAGCAGUCAUUUCUGAGCUGAACAUAAAAUGCUUCAGUAAAAUAAAUAGAAAAAGUUAUUAGUCUGUAGUUCUUGGUGCAAAAAUGAUUUUUCCCAAAAUUGUAUGGAUUAGAAAAGUAUGGUAAAAUAGUAGAUUUUUAACUCCUAUCCAAGCCAUAAAUCUCUUCUCAAUCUUUAGGAUUCUGUAAACUUUAACAUGUACUGAGUUUACUCUGGAAUACUCACAAUCACUUACUCUCCUCCAAGCUCUCUCAGCCACGAAUAAGAUAGACAGAUUUGAUGUGUGGUUGGGAAAUUUCCUCUUAUAGGAUGGAGUUGUGCAGGCAAGAAAUAACUCUUAAGACAGUCUGGGGAAUGAGUCUAAAACAUGGGCCGACAGAGGGUAAUGUGAGAUUGUAUAGGGGGAUGUUUGAGGGCAUAAUAAAUAAAGCAAGAGUGAUGCACAGACAUAUUUUUGUCCUAGGAAAACAAUGUAAAUUUAGUAAAAAUAUGUUCAAUAUUUAUUCCAAUAUAUCUUACAAUAAACCAAGAGAAAUACAAAAUUUGAUGUCUUGUAGUUAAAGAGUAAACAAUAAGGACUCUGCAAUUUUCAUCUCCUUCAGUCAGCCUGUAUAAUAGGUAGAGCUAUUACCAAUUCAUUCAUUCAUUUGACAACUACUAAUUGAGCUUUAACUGUGUGUCAGGCUUUGCAAUAAGAUCUGCUCUUUCAAGUCAGAAUCAAACACUGUCCUUAUCUGAAAGGAGCUCCCAGCUUGAAGGGGAGGAGGUAUAUACAUAUGCACUUAGGAUAUUGAGAUAAGUGAGGCAGUGGUUUGUAAAGACCCUGGGAAGUACAAAGAAUAAAAGCACCCAUUUGUAAGGUGGGGCAUAAACUGUCAAGGGCAUCCACAGACAGGAGAUGAUAACCAAAUUGAAGGAUGAGUAGGAGCUUAUCAAGCAGAGUGGAAAGGCCAUUCCAGAAUGACAGGCUCGCGGGCACAGGCAUGAUGCAGCAGGGAUGAUUCAGGAAGCUACAAGAAGUCUGGUGCAAUUGCAGUAGGUGUUGUCUUGAGGGCAGUGAUAGGUUUUGAGGUUAGAAAAAUAGGCAGGCACCAAUUCACAGAAAACUUUUUUGUAAAGCUAUGAAUUUUGAGCAUGAGGCAGUCCUUAACUAUAUCAAAUGUGAGAAUAUUUCUUAAAACCACAUUUUUUCAGAUGCACAUGAGACAAAAUAGUUACUAAAUGAGAAAAUAUAUAAUGACAUAGGGCCAUAAUUAAUAAUGCACUUAAUAAAUUUAUGCUUAUCACUACCAAAAAAUUUAUUGAACACUUACAUUGUGCCCUUCAUGGUACUGGGAAAGGAAGAGGUGCAAUUUAGAAGAGACAAUUCUCGUUCUUAAAUUGGUUAGCAUCUAUUAAGGGAACAAAUACUUGACAACCCAAAACAAUACACUGUGAAAAUUUCAAUAAUGGAGGGACCUGUAGGUGCAAAAGGGAUUGCAGAGAUGAGAGAAUCCUAGGUUUUCUCAGAGGUGUCAGGGAAAGUGUCACAGAACGAGGCUUAGUUUACUUUUUGCAAAAGGAGUAGGAAUUCUCUAGAAAGAAGCAUUUCUAUGAAGGAGGCAAUAGGGCAUUUUAGGCGGCGGAAACAGCUUGUGCAAAGGCUGAGGAGUCAGGAAAGGCAAAAUAUGAACUUACUAGAAUGGCAACAAGGUCAAAGGGCAAAGAAAUUAUGACUGUGAAGAUUUCUUUUUAUCUAAUUUGGAAAAUGAAGAGUUAGUUCUCCAGCUGUGUAAGAGGUAGGCAGAUUCUUGACCAACUAGUUUGGCAUUAGGACUCCUGGGCAUAAGAACUUUUAAUUGGAACAUCUAGUUAUUAGUGGAAUCUACGGCGAUUCUCUAUUUGCCUGAAAUAUCACAGUGAGAACAACAGAGGAAGCAGCUUUGUAGGAAUUAAACAAUAUUAUAAAAAUGGAAAUAAAACUGAAAUUAUAUAUGCUUCUAAUUUGAAAAUGCAGAUCAGAGAGAAAAUAUCAAAAUGGUAAUAGCUGCAUUUUAAAAGCACUAUUUAUCACUACUUUGCAACCUACUAUUAUUGGACUAUUACCUUGAUGAUUAAACUUUUCAAUUACAUGUUGCAUCGUAUUAGGUUUUAUACAAUCAUUAAUUAGUUCACUCACAUAAAACCCAGUGAGGAAGCUGAAAGAUUUUAUUACCUACUGUUUUACAGAUGAGAAAACAAGGCAACAAGGUUAAGUGGCUUCCUGAAUUUUUCCUAUCGGGUCUGAGGCCUGCAGGAUGGGAGUCUGGCCCCCAGCAUGGCCUGCCUGGCAUGGCUCCCUCAGUUCUGCUCCCAGCUUCACAUGCUCCACUAAUUGGGGAUGGGUACCCCUGGUGUUCUUGAAAAUUAAUGAUAUUCAAAGCUACAAGAUGUAUCUGUUGUAGUCUAUGUUUGUUUACUUGUGGCAAUUAGUGACCAUCUGCUCUGGAGGUGAUGGUAUUAGGCCCUCUUUUGGAAAUAGUAACUUCUAGGAAGGAGACGCCCAGGCUAUUAGGGAAGGAGGGCUGACAAAUGAAUGGGGUCUCGGGUUCUCCAGAGGGUGGAGAGACUGCAUGUCAGACAUGUAAGGAAAAAAGCAAACUGAGUCAUUUAUUCUCUUCUCUUGUUGCCUCUCCUUUUUCUCUAUCUUCUGUCAUCAAAUCAUGGUUACUUGCCCAGAGUUUCUGUCAGGCCUUUGAGCCCAAGCUAAGCCAUCAUACCCCUGUGACCUACACGUUAUACAUCCAGAUGGCCUGAAGCAAUUGAAGAUCCACAAAAUAAGUGAAAAUAGCCUUAACGGAUGACAUUCCACCAUUGUGAUUUGUUUCCACCCCACCCUAACUGAUACAUAUAUUCUCCCCCACCCUUAAGAAGGUACUUCGGAAUGUUCUCUCCCGCUCUUAAGAAUGUGCUUUGUAUGCCUAUCCCAAACCUGUAAGAACUAAUGAUAAUCCCACCACCCUUUGCUGACUCUUUUUUUUGGACUCAGCCCAUCUGCACUCAGGUGAAAUAAACAGCCUUGUUACUCACACAAAGCCUGUUUGGUGGUCUCUUCACAUGGAUGUGCGUGACAUUUGGUGCCGUGACUAGGAUUGGGGGCCCUCCCUUGGGAGAUCAAUCCCCUGUCCUCCUGCUCUUUGCUCCAUGAGAAAGAUCCACCUACGACUUUGGGUCCUUAGACCAACCAGCCCAAGGAACAUCUCACCAAUUUUAAAUCGGGUAAGCAGCCUCUUUU
rnacentral:lncRNA from 10 species